AAAGAAGGUUACUGGACAAAGAGGCGGGUGGAGGAAAGAAGGAUGCAAAGACAACAUUCGGGCCAAAGGCUGGGCAGCAGACUCAGAUGGAGGAGCCAUUUUGAUGGGGAGAUGCCUUAUUGAUCCACUGUACAAAUGGAUGGCUACCAUUUGUUGCAUUCUUCUGGGGAGCCUGGCACCGUGCUGUUCAUUUGUGCCUGCAUUUACAUAACUCUAACAACUCUGUGAGUGCUCCCUUUGAAGAACUGCCUUGGGGUUCAUGUGGCAGCAUCAAAUGGGGAUGGAAGAUGCAGCUCAGGUUAGCAGUGGGAGCCUGUAAAACUUGAGUCCCUGGGGACGCCUGGCAUACAGAAUCCUGCCCUGAGCCCAGAGCACAACGGACUUCACAGGUACAGUCACGCUGACGUGCCUGAGAGCACAGAGAAGUCACACACGCGGUCCCUUGCGUGCAUGGCCCCAGCGCGCAUCCGGAGAGCAGGCUCACGUGCACGUGUUGGCAGGCAUGCAUACCCCCGGCAGGUAUG